GACGAACCGUGCGAACGUUGUUCGGAUUCACUGGGCUUAAAGGGCGCGUAGGCGGGCGAUCAAGUCCGGGGUGAAAUCUUUCGGCUCAACCGGAAAAGUGCCUUGGAUACUGGUCGUCUCGAGGGAGGUAGGGGCAUGCGGAACUUCCGGUGGAGCGGUGAAAUGCGUAGAUAUCGGAAGGAACGCCGGUGGCGAAAGCGGCGUGCUGGACCUCCUCUGACGCUGAGGCGCGAAAGCCAGGGGAGCGAACGGG
rnacentral:rRNA from 1 species